AAGGCAAUUGCAAAUUCCAAGGAAACUCUUUCUUGUGAUGGGGAUUUUCUGACAAAUUUGAUAGCCGAGGACGAUGCAAUGAGUGAAUCUUCUGUUGCUGACCUCUCUCGCUUCAUCCCGAAGAUGCCGGCAUCCCCUUCCAUGUCUCACAUUGUCAGCAUUGGGCAGCUUCUGGAAUCGGUAAUCUCAUUCUUCCUGUGUGUGCAUGCCCACAUAUUGACCGUUAAAAAAAGAUGAGUGCAUGUUAGUCAACAAGAUCAUGCAGCAUCUAAAAGUUUUUUAGCUUGUCAUUCAUGAAAAGUGAGUUAAAAUGACACUAGAAUCAAUGAAGAAAAGAUGGUACAAUGGCUUUAGGUUGAUUCUUCUGUUUCUAAACAAGUAAAUUGGAUAACACCUUCAAUAACUCUCCUAGUUAGAAUUCAUCAUUUAUUGGGCUAGCCAUUUUGUAUAGACAUGGCAGCAUGGUUAUCAGAAUCCUGAUCCAGAUCGUAAGAUCUAUAGUUCUAGUUGGGCCAAAUGAUUCAGAUCGCACUAGGAUUAAAGUGACUAUGAUCUUAGUGAUAAAAUCGUGUAGAAUCGCACUACGAUCCUGAUUCUACAACAAUCCCGAUCCUACAAAAAAAAAAAA